CGCUAAGGCACGAUGAGCUGAGGGUGAAGCGAGGAGAAUUGAAUCCAACAGCUCUUGGUACGGUGAACACAAGCAAAGAUUGACUCAUUUGCCAGAACCCUCUGCCUCGGAAGUUGCAAGGUUCAUGUCAGGAGACUGCUUCAAUCCUGUCUGAAGAGACGUGGGUAUUCUUCUGCACUGGACCAUGAAGAGGGACCGUUGAAACGGGACUGUUUUAUCAACUGGAUUAUUGAGUAAUAACGUGAUAAGCAGCGCCAUGAGUCAUUCCAGCCAGAAAUGGCAGUGAUGCAGCGCA